rnacentral:rRNA from 1 species
UACGAAGGGGCUAGCGUUGUUCGGAUUUACUGGGCGUAAAGCGCACGUAGGCGGAUCGUUAAGUCGGGGGUGAAAUCCUGGAGCUCAACUCCAGAACUGCCUUCGAUACUGGCGAUCUUGAGUCCGGAAGAGGUGAGUGGAACUCCUAGUGUAGAGGUGGAAUUCGUAGAUAUUCGCAAGAACACCAGUGGCGAAGGCGGCUCACUGGCCCGAUACUGACGCUGAGGCACGAAAGCGUGGGGAGCAAACAGG